CAAACAUAGGUAGUGGACUAAGUAACAAAAUAGGGAAGGUGGGCUUUGGUACCGGGUAAAAAUGAACUGCUACCUUAAAGUUUGCUACUUUAUCAUUUAAAAAAAAAAAAAAAGAGCUGCAGGGUUUCUCCACUAAUAGAUCGUGCGCGCCCUACUCCACACCAGUUACCAUAGAUUUUUGGCGGCCUACUCCACAACUUGCUGCUACCGUCUUUGCUUCCCAUUCUGCACGCAUCUUUUCGCCAUAUAUCUCGUGCCCUAACAGCCACCAGAAAUUGUUGCCGCCACCGUUGCUUCGAGGUUUGUGGUUGUCUUCCUCGUCUUGUUGCCGCCACGGUUGCUGCGAGGUUUGUGGGUGUUGCCGUCUCUUUGUGAUUAUUGGCGUCGUACUCCGUCUUGUUGUCAAACUCAUCUCGUGGUUGUUGCUGUCAUCUCUAUUUUGCCGCUUCAGAGUGGUAUUGCGAGGCCAUGAGCACAAAGGUGAUUGUGAUAGAGAGAAACAAUACAGGUUUAUGGAGAUAGUGAAGUCUUUUGGAUCUUGAUGAGCAAGCUAUUGGGGAAUUUAGCUGUCAUCUUUUUGUAUCGUACCUACUCUUUCAUUAUUAUAUGUGUAGGUUAUACACUUAUAUGUAUGUUUAUUUUAGCCUAUUUUGUUUGGAAACCUUAAAAGAUGAACUUUGUCAUGUUUUAAUUGUAUUUCCUUCUAGUCAAUAUUAUUACAUAAUCAAGAUACUUGGGAACUAUGUAAAUUUUGGUUUGGAAAUUCUUUUAGCAUGUUUCUUUAGUAAGGAAGGCCAGUUGCCUACGUUUCAUACAGUACAUUUAAAAAAUAAAUAAAACUUAACGCAGCGGUUUGGAAUUGCUGCCUUUGUUGUUAAUAUUU